rnacentral:tRNA from 1 species
GGGGGUGCGGCUCAGUGACAGAGCAUUUGCCUAGCAUGUAUGAGGUCCAGGGUUCCAUCCCCAGCACCACCA